rnacentral:rRNA from 1 species
UACGAAGGGGGCGAGCGUUGUCCGGAAUCAUUGGGCGUAAAGCGCGCGUAGGCGGCCCGGUAAGUCCGCUGUGAAAGUCCAGGGCUCAACCCUGGGAUGCCGGUGGAUACUGUCGGGCUCGAGUCCGGAAGAGGCGAGUGGAAUUCCUGGUGUAGCGGUGAAAUGCGCAGAUAUCAGGAGGAACACCAAUGGCGAAGGCAGCUCGCUGGGACGUGACUGACGCUGAGACGCGAAAGCGUGGGGAGCAAACAGG